AAAUCGAGAAACCUCACCACCACCAUCUUCAUCGUCGCCACCACCCCCACUCCAGUACCACCUCUAGUUUCGCCACCACCUCCACCAAUCCCACGACCAUUUUCAGACCUCCUCUUAUAUUUCCAUCAAAUCCAUCACAAGCAGCAACACCACCACCUCCUAAACAAUCGGUUUAGAUCGAUUUUUACCUGAUUCAACUUCAGAACUCAAAUCUAGUGAUCAACCAACGAGAAACUAAUCUCCGAAACCUAAUCCUGAGCAUCGAAAACGUUAGAUUCGUUUCGAUUUUGCAACUGGAUUGUACAUGAUUGCAUUUUCAAACCCUAAUUUUGGAUUCAUUUUUCUUCGGAUCGAUAAUUCAUUCAGUUUUUGAAUCAAGAAGCUGAUUAUUGUUUAUGAACGGUGGUUGUGGUGAUUUCACCCUGCUGCGAAAAAUGAAGGGUAUACAUUCAGCAAAAUUGAUUUCACCCUGACCGAUGUGCAAUGCAUCCAUUAGUAAUUGUCAGUUAAUUCACUAUAUGUCGCCAGUGGUUCAUAUAGGUAUACAAGUGCACUAAAACUUCAGGUGCUCUUCCAUAUUCUUCAGGUAUACUCUCUCUCUUGAUGUCGCCAGUGGUUCAUCAAUGGUUAGCAGGUGCAUUCAGUUUUAAGUAAUUGUACGACAUCUUUUUAUCUUUAUUUUUUAAUAAAUAAUAAUGUCAUGUUGUUGAUGUGUAAACUUCCGACAUAUUAUUUUACAUACAGCUGUAUGCUAAAAUUUAUAUCUAUGUGAAACUUGUAGGCUUGUAGUUAACAGGCAGCCACAUAACCUCUCAUGUCGGCUCUUUCAGCAUGAGUUUUAACUGACUUGUUCAUGGGAAUAUAUAUAACUCGCUGAAAGCAUUGAGUUCUUUUUGUUUUAAUGAAAUGUUUCCAAAUGUUAUUGCUGUCACAGGUGUAUUAAGUACCUCCUAGUUCAAGUUAGAAAUAUUGGCUUUCAUCUUGCACAAGGUACAUUGUUUUCUUCAAGUUCCCAUUCACUUCUAAAUAGUACUAGUACUUGUGUGUUUAGUGUCUGCAUUUUAUUAAGAUUUGAGUUCAGUACUCAUGUUUAUAUAAGAUGAACUUGUGGUGUAAUGGUAGCACACCUGACUCCACGUCAAAAGAUACGUGUUCGAUUCACGUCGGGUUCACUAAUUUUAAUACGUCAAUUUUUGGGAUCAACUUUGGUUGUUAACCCUAGAGUUUGGGGUCAACUUUGGUUGUUGACACCAUAUUUUGGGAUCAACUUUAUUUAGUUGUUGACAUCAUACAUAAUUUGAAUAUUUUCGAAUUUUGGGAUCAACUUGGGUUGUUGACACCAUAUUUUGGGAUCAACAUUGAUUGUUGACACCAUACAUAAUUUGCACAUUUUCUGAAAUUUUAGUUUUGGGGAUCAACUUCGGUUGUUGACACCAUAUUUUUUUUUUCUGAUUUUUGUUUUGGGAUCAACUUCGGUUGUUGACACCAUAUUA